UAUGGCCAAAUCACGUGGAAACACCGGUUCUCAUACGAUCACCGAAGUUAAGCAACAUCGAGCCUGAUCAGUACCUAGAUGGAUGACCACUUGAGAAAAACCAG